UGUGUCUUUGACUCUCUCUCUCUCUCUCUCUGUGUGUGUGUGUCUCUGAUGAAAAAAAUAAAAUCUUGAAAAGAAAAAAAAGAAAUCAAGGAGACACAGAUUCAAGAAGAACCAAAUGUGCUCUGGGGGCUGAGGGGGUGAGGGGCUCAAUUGAUGAAGGUAACACCAUAGGUUGUAGAAGUUCUUCUGAAAGGAUUAGGAUCGAUGCAGCAUAAAUAACUGGCUUUGCCACAUAGAGACGGUGUCACUGGGUGGAGUUCAGCGAAAUAAGCUUCCUUGUGACAACUGUGGCAGAACGGAGCUGUGUGUCGGUUGGUACGGGCUGCAAGUUCAUGUGACAUCAGACGCGGAGGCGGAUCAGACCAACUUGCACAUUGGUCUCCGGCCUCCCUGUCAGGCUGCUGAGCAUUAGGGUUUCAAUAUCAAUGUUUCCACUCACAGUUGUGAGCCAGUGUUCCUUGUGAGAGGACAGAAUGGGCCAGGCUCGGGGAGAGAGCCGAGCGUGCACACAAGCCUCCAGUGGCAGUAGAUAAGCGAGGAAAGUCCUUUGCUCUCCUCCGGGUGCCAAGUAUCCCCCCAACGACUGCAGGGUGAGUAGGUGUAAGAGUAGCUAAACGACAACCACAGCUGUGGGUUCAGAAACCAUCUUUUUGUGUAGAAAGUAAUAUAGCUUAUUGAUGAAGACUUCUCCAACAAUUAGAUUGUGUAUAAUGGACGCAAGAGAACUCAGGACAUAAAUAAGGGUCUUCUUCACCAUAAACUGGCACAUCUUUUUGAAACAACCCAGGAACUUCCAUUGGUUCUCCAGUAUAGUCAAGGAGAAUGCAGGAACAUAACUUCUUAUCUUACCCAGGAUAAAGGUAGCUACAACUUCCACCAUUAAUUCUGUGAACCAAAGUUUGAUAUUGAGCAUAACUGACCUGUUACAGAACAUAGGCAGUGUCCCCUUGUCUGCUUCGGUCCCAAAGAAGAUGUGAAGCCUAGAGAGCCAGCCUUUAAUAGUCACUGCUAUACAGUAGGAGCUGGGCACGUGAUCUCUGUGUCUCAUUUCUGGAGAAGUUGUGCCACUUUAGAAUUAUAUCCUUUAUGUUUAUAAAUCUUGUGAGCCCUCUGAAAAUAGGUUGAAAUAGGUCCCAAAAUAGUACAAAUCAAUUUGUUGGUAAAUUUAUAUGACUACUAAUAAUUUGCUUAUGAUUUGAGUCAAUGACCCUGUGGCCUUUUUAUAGGCUCCACAAAUGUAAGGAAAAUCCUCCAUCAAUAAAAAUAACCCCAUAAAGUUUGAAAUUGGAUUUUUUUUUUGAAAUUGGAUGUUUUAUAUCUGAAACAUCUCAAUCGGGUGUUUUUUUAUCUCAAACAUGUCAAUCGGAUGUUUUUUAUCUCAACUAAAGCCAUUGGUUUUUUUUUUCCCCCUCAUGCCUCCUAACAUUGCUUCUUGUGAGAGGGUUGAAAAAACCCCUUGUCCUCUUGUUUAUACAUAUUGUGGCAAAAUGUAGGUAUUUUCAGUUUCAAUAUUUUGUGAAAAAGUUCAAAAAGCCCUGUUCUUUAUCACAGACAUAAGGUCGCCAAAUACAGGAUUUAUAGUGACAACAUUUUGUGAGAAGCUUCAGAUAACCUUGUCAUUUUUAUACAUAUCAUAGUGAUACAGAGGUACUUUUUGUUCCAAUAUUUUGUGAAAAGCUUCAAAAAAAAAAAAAAAACCCCGUCUUCUUUUCUACACAUAUGCUGGCUAAAUAUAGGUAUCUUUUGUGACAAUAUUUUGUGAAAAGUUUCAAAAAACCCUGUCCUCUUUUUUCCACAUAUCUUGGCUGAACAUAGGUAUUUUUUAAUACUAUUUUGUGAAAAAGACUUCAAAACCUUGUCCUGUGUUUUACACGUCUCCUGGCUGAACCUAGUUAUUUUUUGUGACAACUUUUGUGUGUGACACGCUUUCAAAAACCAUAUCCUCUUUUAUACAUGUACCCUGGUCUAACAUACACAUUUCUUUUGUGACAAGAAUUUGUGAAAGGCUUCGAAAACCCAACCUCUUUCUUACACAUAUCCUGGGUGAACGUAGGUAUUUUUUGUGACAAUAGUUUGUGACAGGUUUCAAAACCUCUGGCCACAAAAAACAAAAAACAACAAACAAAAAACAAAACAAAAAAAAGACAAACAAAACCUCUGGCCACAUUUUUACGUAUAUCCUCUUCUAAAAAAUUGAGAUUUUAUUUAUUUAUUUAUUUAUAUAUAUAUUUAUUUAUUAUUUAUUUAUUUAUUUAAAUGUUCUUAUGUUAUUAUGUUCUUUGUGAGAGGAUAGAAUGGGCCAGGCUCGGGGAGGGAGCCGAGCAUGCACACAAGCCUCCAGUGGCAGUAGAUAAGCGAGGAAAGUCCUUUGCUCUCCUCCGGGUGCCAAGUAUCCCCCCAACGACUGCAGGGUGAGUAGGUGUAAGAGUAGCUAAACGACAACCACAGCUGUGGGUUCAGAAACCAUCUUUUUGUGUAGAAAGUAAUAUAGCUUAUUGAUGAAGACUUCUCCAACAAUUAGAUUGUGUAUAAUGGACGCAAGAGAACUCAGGACAUAAAUAAGGGUCUUCUUCACCAUAAACUGGCACAUCUUUUUGAAACAACCCAGGAAUUUCCAUUGGUUGUCCGGCCAUGUCACGAACAAUGCAGGAACAUAACUUCUUAUCUUACCCAGGAUAAAGGUAGCUACAACUUCCACCAUUAAUUCUGUGAUCCAAAGUUUGAUAUUGAGCAUAACUGACCUGUUACAGAACAUAGGCAGUGUCCCCUUGUCUGCUUCGGUCCCAAAGAAGAUGUGAAGCCUAGAGAGCCAGCCUUUAAUAGUCACUGCUACACAGUAGGAGCUGGGCACGUGAUCUCUGUGUCUCAUUUCUGGAGAAGUUGUGCCACUUUAGAAUUAUAUCCUUUAUGUUUAUAAAUCUUGUGAGCCCUCUGAAAAUAGGUUGAAAUAGGUCCCAAAAUAGUACAAAUCAAUUUGUUGGUAAAUUUAUAUGACUACUAAUAAUUUGCUUAUGAUUUGAGUCAAUGACCCUGUGGCCUUUUUAUAGGCUCCACAAAUGUAAGGAAAAUCCUCCAUCAAUAAAAAUAACCCCAUAAAGUUUGAAAUUGGAUUUUUUUUUUGAUAUUGGAUGUUUUUUAUCUCAAACAUCUCAAUCGGAUUUUUUUUAAUCCGAUGUUUUUUAUCUCAAACAUCUCAAUCGGGUGUUUUUUUAUCUCAAACAUGUCAAUCGGAUGUUUUUUAUCUCAACGAAAGCCAUUGUUUUUUUUUUCCCCUCAUGCCUCCUAAUAUUGCUUCUUGUGAGAGGGUUGAAAAAACCCCUUGUCCUCUUGUUUAUACAUAUUGUGGCAAAAUGUAGGUAUUUUCAGUUUCAAUAUUUUGUGAAAAACUUCAAAAAACCCUGUUCUUUAUCACACACAUAAGCUGGCCAAAUACAGGAUUUAUAGUGACAAUAUUUUGUGAGAAGCUUCAGAUAACCUUGUCAUUUUUAUACAUAUCAUAGUGAUACAGAGGUACUUUUUGUUCCAAUAUUUUGUGAAAAGCUUCAAAAAAAAAAAAAAAAAACCCCGUCUUCUUUUCUACACAUAUGCUGGCUAAAUAUAGGUAUCUUUUGUGACAAUAUUUUGUGAAAAGUUUCAAAAAACCCUGUCCUCUUUUUUCCACAUAUCUUGGCUGAACAUAGGUAUUUUUUAAUACUAUUUUGUGAAAAAGACUUCAAAACCUUGUCCUGUGGUUUACACGUCUCCUGGCUGAACCUAGUUAUUUUUUGUGACAACUUUUGUGUGUGACACGCUUUCAAAAACCAUAUCCUCUUUUAUACAUGUAUCGUGGUCUAACAUACACAUUUCUUUUGUGACAAGAUUUUGUGAAAGGCUUCGAAAACCCAACCUCUUUCUUACACAUAUCCUGGGUGAACGUAGGUAUUUUUUGUGACAAUAGUUUGUGACAGGUUUCAAAACCUCUGGCCACGAAAAACAAAAAACAACAAACAAAAAACAAAACAAAAAAAAGACAAACAAAACCUCUGGCCACAUUUUUACGUAUAUCCUCUUCUAAAAAAUUGAGAUUUUAUUUAUUUAUUUAUUUAUUAUUUAUUUAUUUAUUUAUUUAUUUAAAUGUUCUUAUGUUAUUAUGUUCUUUGUGAGAGGAUAGAAUGGGCCAGGCUCGGGGAGAGAGCCGAGCAUGCACACAAGCCUCCAGUGGCAGUAGAUAAGCGAGGAAAGUCCUUUGCUCUCCUCCGGGUGCCAAGUAUCCCCCCAACGACUGCAGGGUGAGUAGGUGUAAGAGUAGCUAAACGACAACCACAGCUGUGGGUUCAGAAACCAUCUUUUUGUGUAGAAAGUAAUAUAGCUUAUUGAUGAAGACUUCUCCAACAAUUAGAUUGUGUAUAAUGGACGCAAGAGAACUCAGGACAUAAAUAAGGGUCUUCUUCACCAUAAACUGGCACAUCUUUUUGAAACAACCCAGGAAUUUCCAUUGGUUGUCCGGCCAUGUCACAAACAAUGCAGGAACAUAACUUCUUAUCUUACCCAGGAUAAAGGUAGCUACAACUUCCACCAUUAAUUCUGUGAACCAAAGUUUGAUAUUGAGCAUAACUGACCUGUUACAGAACAUAGGCAGUGUCCCCUUGUCUGCUUCGGUCCCAAAGAAGAUGUGAAGCCUAGAGAGCCAGCCUUUAAUAGUCACUGCUAUACAGUAGGAGCUGGGCACGUGAUCUCUGUGUCUCAUUUCUGGAGAAGUUGUGCCACUUUAGAAUUAUAUCCUUUAUGUUUAUAAAUCUUGUGAGCCCUCUGAAAAUAGGUUGAAAUAGGUCCCAAAAUAGGACAAAUCAAUUUGUUGGUAAAUUUAUAUGACUACUAAUAAUUUGCUUAUGAUUUGAGUCAAUGACCCUGUGGCCUUUUUAUAGGCUCCACAAAUGUAAGGAAAAUCCUCCAUCAAUAAAAAUAACCCCAUAAAGUAUGAAAUUGGAUUUUUUUUUGAAAUUGGAUGUUUUUUAUCUCAAACAUCUCAAUCGGAUUUUUUUUAAUCCGAUGUUUUUUAUCUCAAACAUCUCAAUUAGAUAUUUUUUAUCUCAAACAUCUCAAUUGGAUGUUUUUUCUCUCAAACAUCUCAAUCGGAUGUUUUUUAUCUCAACGAAAGCCAUUGUUUUUUUUUUCCCCUCAUGCCUCCUAACAUUGCUUCUUGUGAGAGGGUUGAAAAAACCCCUUGUCCUCUUGUUUAUACAUAUUGUGGCAAAAUGUAGGUAUUUUCAGUUUCAAUAUUUUGUGAAAAACUUCAAAAAACCCUGUUCUUUAUCACACACAUAAGCUGGCCAAAUACAGGAUUUAUAGUGACAAUAUUUUGUGAGAAGCUUCAGAUAACCUUGUCAUUUUUAUACAUAUCAUAGUGAUACAGAGGUACUUUUUGUUCCAAUAUUUUGUGAAAAGCUUCAAAAAAAAAAAAAAAAACCCCGUCUUCUUUUCUACACAUAUGCUGGCUAAAUAUAGGUAUCUUUUGUGACAAUAUUUUGUGAAAAGUUUCAAAAAACCCUGUCCUCUUUUUUCCACAUAUCUUGGCUGAACAUAGGUAUUUUUUAAUACUAUUUUGUGAAAAAGACUUCAAAACCUUGUCCUGUGGUUUACACGUCUCCUGGCUGAACCUAGUUAUUUUUUGUGACAACUUUUGUGUGUGACACGCUUUCAAAAACCAUAUCAUCUUUUAUACAUGUAUCGUGGUCUAACAUACACAUUUCUUUUGUGACAAGAUUUUGUGAAAGGCUUCGAAAACCCAACCUCUUUCUUACACAUAUCCUGGGUGAACGUAGGUAUUUUUUGUGACAAUAGUUUGUGACAGGUUUCAAAACCUCUGGCCACGAAAAACAAAAAACAACAAACAAAAAACAAAACAAAAAAAAGACAAACAAAACCUCUGGCCACAUUUUUACGAAUAUCCUCAUCUAAAAAAUUGAGAUUUUAUUUAUUUAUUUAUUUAUUUAUUUAUUUAUUUAUUAUUUAUUUAUUUAUUUAUUUAUUUAAAUGUUCUUAUGUUAUUAUGUUCUUUGUGAGAGGAUAGAAUGGGCCAGGCUCGGGGAGAGAGCCGAGCAUGCACACAAGCCUCCAGUGGCAGUAGAUAAGCGAGGAAAGUCCUUUGCUCUCCUCCGGGUGCCAAGUAUCCCCCCAACGACUGCAGGGUGAGUAGGUGUAAGAGUAGCUAAACGACAACCACAGCUGUGGGUUCAGAAACCAUCUUUUUGUGUAGAAAGUAAUAUAGCUUAUUGAUGAAGACUUCUCCAACAAUUAGAUUGUGUAUAAUGGACGCAAGAGAACUCAGGACAUAAAUAAGGGUCUUCUUCACCAUAAACUGGCACAUCUUUUUGAAAUAACCCAGGAAUUUCCAUUGGUUGUCCGGCCAUGUCACGAACAAUGCAGGAACAUAACUUCUUAUCUUACCCAGGAUAAAGGUAGCUACAACUUCCACCAUUAAUUCUGUGAACCAAAGUUUGAUAUUGAGCAUAACUGACCUGUUACAGAACAUAGGCAGUGUCCCCUUGUCUGCUUCGGUCCCAAAGAAGAUGUGAAGCCUAGAGAGCCAGCCUUUAAUAGUCACUGCUAUACAGUAGGAGCUGGGCACGUGAUCUCUGUGUCUCAUUUCUGGAGAAGUUGUGCCACUUUAGAAUUAUAUCCUUUAUGUUUAUAAAUCUUGUGAGCCCUCUGAAAAUAGGUUGAAAUAGGUCCCAAAAUAGUACAAAUCAAUUUGUUGGUAAAUUUAUAUGACUACUAAUAAUUUGCUUAUGAUUUGAGUCAAUGACCCUGUGGCCUUUUUAUAGGCUCCACAAAUGUAAGGAAAAUCCUCCAUCAAUAAAAAUAACCCCAUAAAGUAUGAAAUUGGAUUUUUUUUUGAAAUUGGAUGUUUUUUAUCUCAAACAUCUCAAUCGGAUUUUUUUUAAUCCGAUGUUUUUUAUCUCAAACAUCUCAAUUAGAUAUUUUUUAUCUCAAACAUCUCAAUUGGAUGUUUUUUCUCUCAAACAUCUCAAUCGGAUGUUUUUUAUCUCAACGAAAGCCAUUGUUUUUUUUUUCCCCUCAUGCCUCCUAACAUUGCUUCUUGUGAGAGGGUUGAAAAAACCCCUUGUCCUCUUGUUUAUACAUAUUGUGGCAAAAUGUAGGUAUUUUCAGUUUCAAUAUUUUGUGAAAAACUUCAAAAAACCCUGUUCUUUAUCACACACAUAAGCUGGCCAAAUACAGGAUUUAUAGUGACAAUAUUUUGUGAGAAGCUUCAGAUAACCUUGUCAUUUUUAUACAUAUCAUAGUGAUACAGAGGUACCUUUUGUUCCAAUAUUUUGUGAAAAGCUUCAAAAAAAAAAAAAA